rnacentral:rRNA from 1 species
CUACGGGUCGCAGCAGUCGAGAAUCUUCGGCAAUGGACGAAAGUCUGACCGAGCGACGCCGCGUGCGGGAUGAAGGCCUUCGGGUUGUAAACCGCUGUCAGUUGGGAGGAAAUCUAUUGGGGCAAUCCCCUUUAGUUGACCUAUCUUCAGAGGAAGGACGGGCUAAGUUCGUGCCAGCAGCCGCGGUAAGACGAACCGUACAAACGUUAUUCGGUAUCACUGGGCUUAAGGGUGCGUAGGCGGCCAUGUAAGUUAGGUGUGAAAUCCCUCGGCUCAACCGAGGAAUAGCGCUUAAUACUGCGUGGCUGGAGGAAGGUAGAGGUAAGCGGAACUUGCGGUGUAACGGUGAAAUGUGUUGAUAUCGCAGGGAACACCAGUGGCGAAGGCGGCUUACUGGGCCUUUUCUGACGCUGAGGCACGAAAGCUAGGGGAGCGAACGGGAUUAGAUACCCUUGUAGUC